rnacentral:rRNA from 1 species
UUUUAAUGAGAGUUUGAUCCUGGCUCAGGACGAACGCUGGCGGCGUGCCUAAUACAUGCAAGUAGAACGCUGAAGGAAGGAGCUUGCUUCUUCCGGAUG